UACGUAGGGUGCAAGCGUUAAUCGGAAUUACUGGGCGUAAAGCGUGCGCAGGCGGUUAUGUAAGACAGGGGUGAAAUCCCCGGGCUUAACCUGGGAACUGCAUUUGUGACUGCAUAGCUAGAGUACGGUAGAGGGGGAUGGAAUUCCGCGUGUAGCAGUGAAAUGCGUAGAGAUGUGGAGGAAUACCGAUGGCGAAGGCAGCCUCCUGGGCCAACACUGACGCUCAUGCACGAAAGCGUGGGGAGCAAACAGG
rnacentral:rRNA from 1 species